rnacentral:rRNA from 1 species
AAACUCAAAGGAAUUGAGGGGACCCGCACAAGCAGCGGAGCGUGUGGUUUAAUUCGUUGCUACACGAAGAACCUUACCUGGGUUUGACAUAUAGGUUGUAGGGAACUGAAAGGGACGACCCUUCGGGGAGCCUAUACAGGUGUUGCAUGGCUGUCGUCAGCUUGUGUCGUGAGAUGUUCGGUUAAGUCCGCUAACGAGCGCAACCCUCGUCGUAUGUUAUAUGUGUCAUACGAGACUGCCGGUAAAAAGCCGGAGGAAGGUGAGGAUGAUGUCAAGUCAGCAUGACCUUUAUAUCCAGGGCUACACACACGCUACAAUGGUCUGUACAAUGGGUAGCCAAGCCGCGAGGCGGAGCCAAUCCUGAAAGCAGGCCUCAGUUCAGAUUGCAGUCUGCAACUCGACUGCAUGAAGCCGGAGUUGCUAGUAACCGCAGGUCAGCAAUACUGCGGUGAAUACGUUCCCGGGUCUU